rnacentral:tRNA from 2 species
GCCUGGCUAGCUCAGUCGGUAUAGCAUGAGACUAUUAAUUUCAGGGUCGUGGGUUCAAGCCCCACGUUGGGCG